UACGAGGGGGGCGAGCGUUGUUCGGGAUUAUUGGGCGUAAAGGGUGCGUAGGCGGUUCGGUAAGUUUCGUGUGAAAUCUUCGGGCUCAACUCGAAGUCUGCACGAGAUACUGCCGGGCUUGAGUGUGGGAGAGGUGAGUGGAAUUUCCGGUGUAGCGGUGAAAUGCGCAGAUAUCAGGAGGAACACCGAUGGCGAAGGCAGGUCUCUGGGCCACUACUGACGCUGAGAAGCGAAAGCAUGGGGAGCGAACAGG
rnacentral:rRNA from 1 species